AUGCUUGGGUUAAAUUGCUCCGAAGGCAAAGGCCAGAGGUUCGAAUCCUCUUGGGUGCGCCA
rnacentral:tRNA from 1 species